rnacentral:piRNA from 1 species
UCCCCGUCGGGUGGCAGUGGGCA